UACAGUGGACAGUUGUGUCAGUUUGUCAUGAUGUCAGGUAGUCAUGAUGUCAGGUAGUCAUGAUGUCAGGUUGUUAUGAUGUCAGGUAGUCAUGAUGUCAGGUUGUUAUGAUGUCAGGUUGUCAUGAUGUCAGGUUGUCAUGAUGUCAGGUUGUUAUGAUGUCAGGUUGUCAUGAUGUCAGGUUGUUAUGAUGUCAGGUAGUCAUGAUGUCAUGAUGUCAGGUUGUUAUGAUGUCAGGUAGUCAUGAUGUCAGGUUAUCAUGAUGUCAGGUUGUUAUGAUGUCAGGUUGUCAUGAUGUCAUGUUAUCAUGAUGUCAGGUUGUUAUGAUGUCAGGUUAUCAUGAUGUCAGGUAGUCAUGAUGUCAGGUUGUUAUGAUGUCAGGUUGUCAUGAUGUCAGGUUGUUAUGAUGUCAGGUUGUCAUGAUGUCAGGUUGUUAUGAUGUCAGGUAGUCAUGAUGUCAGGUAGUCAUGAUGUCAGGUAGUCAUGAUGUCAGGUUGUCAUGAUGUCAGGUUGUUAUGAUGUCAGGUUGUUAUGAUGUCAGGUAGUCAUGAUGUCAGGUUGUCAUGAUGUCAGGUUGUUAUGAUGUCAGGUUGUUAUGAUGUCAGGUAGUCAUGAUGUCAGGUUGUUAUGAUGUCAGGU